GAUGAAGAACGUAGCGAAAUGCGAUAAGUAAUGUGAAUUGCAGAAUUCAGUGAAUCAUCGAAUCUUUGAACGCACAUUGCGCCCGCCAGUAUUCUGGCGGGCAUGCCUGUUCGAGCGUCAUUUCAACCAUCAAGCCCCAGGCUUGUGUUGGGGACCUGCGGCUGCCGCAGGCCCUGAAAACCAGUGGCGGGCUCGCUGUCACACCGGGCGUAGUAGAUUUUAUCUCGCUCAGGGCGUGCUGCGGGUUCCGGCCGUUAAAAAGCCUUUUUUACCCAAGGUUGACCUCGAAUCAGGUAGGAAGACCCGCUGAACUUAAGCAUAUCAAUAAGCGGAGGA
rnacentral:misc_RNA from 1 species